rnacentral:rRNA from 1 species
UGGGGAAUAUUGCGCAAUGGGGGAAACCCUGACGCAGCAACGCCGCGUGAAGGAUGAAGGCCUUCGGGUCGUAAACUUCUAUCGAUGGGGAAGAAUAAAUGACGGUACCCAAGUAAGAAGCCCCGGCUAACUACGUGCCAGCAGCCGCGGUAAAACGUAGGGGGCAAGCGUUAUCCGGAAUUACUGGGUGUAAAGGGUGAGUAGGCGGUUUGGUAAGUCAUGUGUGAAAUGCCGCGGCUUAACUGCGGAGCUGCACAAGAAACUACUGAACUAGAGUACAGGAGAGGUAAGCGGAAUUCCUAGUGUAGCGGUGAAAUGCGUAGAUAUUAGGAAGAACACCAGUGGCGAAGGCGGCUUACUGGACUGAAACUGACGCUGAGUCACGAAAGCGUGGGGAGCGAACA